GAUGAACGCUGGCGGCGUGCCUAAUACAUGCAAGUCGAGCGAACGGACGAGAAGCUUGCUUCUCUGAUGUUAGCGGCGGACGGGUGAGUAACACGUGGAUAACCUACCUAUAAGACUGGGAUAACUUCGGGAAACCGGAGCUAAUACCGGAUAAUAUUUUGAACCGCAUGGUUCAAAAGUGAAAGACGGUCUUGCUGCCACUUAUAGAUGGAUCCGCGCUGCAUUAGCUAGUUGGUAAGGUAACGGCUUACCAAGGCAACGAUGCAUAGCCGACCUGAGAGGGUGAUCGGCCACACUGGAACUGAGACACGGUCCAGACUCCUACGGGAGGCAGCAGUAGGGAAUCUUCCGCAAUGGGCGAAAGCCUGACGGAGCAACGCCGCGUGAGUGAUGAAGGUCUUCGGAUCGUAAAACUCUGUUAUUAGGGAAGAACAUAUGUGUAAGUAACUGUGCACAUCUUGACGGUACCUAAUCAGAAAGCCACGGCUAACUACGUGCCAGCAGCCGCGGUAAUACGUAGGUGGCAAGCGUUAUCCGGAAUUAUUGGGCGUAAAGCGCGCGUAGGCGGUUUUUUAAGUCUGAUGUGAAAGCCCACGGCUCAACCGUGGAGGGUCAUUGGAAACUGGAAAACUUGAGUGCAGAAGAGGAAAGUGGAAUUCCAUGUGUAGCGGUGAAAUGCGCAGAGAUAUGGAGGAACACCAGUGGCGAAGGCGACUUUCUGGUCUGUAACUGACGCUGAUGUGCGAAAGCGUGGGGAUCAAACAGG
rnacentral:rRNA from 1 species